CGAUUGGAGCUGGGCUCGGGGCCUGCCGGGCGAGCAGCGGGGAGGCGCAGGCCCGGCUUGCCGAGCAGAGCGCCCGUACCCGUGAGCGAGCUAAAGCCUUUGCUCCCCCAGCUCGGCAGUGGUAGCGGCCGCCGGGCCUGCCUGGGCCGCGCGGACCGGGCCGCACCAUUGAAGGGGCGGGGGGGGCCGCGGCCUCGCGGCACGUGGCGGCUCACGGCCCUUGUCCCUCAGGCCACCAUGGAGGCGACACCGGCACCGCGACCCCGCCGGCAGCGCCGGGACCCCGCCAGGGCUGUGGAAGAUCCUCCCCGCAGGAAGAUGUCUUGAAGUAAAGAACAAGAGCCUGGGCUUCCCACGUGGAUGUGACACAAGAGGACAGGGGACAGGUGGGGAGCUGGCCCUGAUGUGCAGGUAGAGCCUGCAGGUCUCUGCUGCCACGUGCUGGUUGUUGAUGUGCACCCACUGAAGUGACAGCUCUUCACGAGUCCUGUGGAGGGCACUGACACAGCAGAGCAGGACAGUGCUGGGUGGUGCUGCUGGAAAUGUCUCUGAAGCAGAAGGACUCCAACAAAACACCUGAGCUUGACAAAACACUUGAGGAUUUCGUGUAGACACAUUUUUCUGCCUGUUACAAAGUGGUGACAGUUAAAGUGUUUUAUUACAUAUACAUUAUUAAAGUAUUUUUUAAACACUG